UACGUAGGGGGCAAGCGUUGUCCGGAAUCAUUGGGCGUAAAGGGCGCGUAGGCGGCCCGCUAAGUCGAACGUGAAAUCCCCGAGCUCAACUCGGGAACUGCGUCCGAUACUGGCGGGCUUGAAUCCGGGAGAGGGAUGCGGAAUUCCAGGUGUAGCGGUGAAAUGCGUAGAUAUCUGGAGGAACACCGGUGGCGAAGGCGGCAUCCUGGACCGGCAUUGACGCUGAGGCGCGAAAGCUAGGGGAGCAAACGGG
rnacentral:rRNA from 1 species